GCGACGAUCGGUAGCCGGCCUGAGAGGGCGGACGGCCACAUUGGGACUGAGACACGGCCCAGACUCCUACGGGAGGCAGCAGUGGGGGAUAUUGCACAAUGGGGGAAACCCUGAUGCAGCGACGCCGCGUGGGUGAAGAAGUAUUUCGGUAUGUAAAGCCCUAUCAGCAGGGAAGAAAGAAGACGGUACCUGACUAAGAAGCCCCGGCUAACUACGUGCCAGCAGCCGCGGUAAUACGUAGGGGGCAAGCGUUAUCCGGAUUCACUGGGUGUAAAGGGAGCGUAGACGGCCGUGCAAGCCAGGAGUGAAAGCCCGGGGCCCAACCCCGGGACUGCUCUUGGAACUGUGCGGCUAGAGUGCGGGAGGGGCAGGCGGAAUUCCUGGUGUAGCGGUGAAAUGCGUAGAUAUCAGGAGGAACACCGGCGGCGAAGGCGGCCUGCUGGACCGCGACUGACGUUGAGGCUCGAAAGCGUGGGGAGCGAACAGGAUUAGAUACCCUGGUAGUCCACGCCGUAAACGAUGACUACUAGGUGUCGGGGCACGACAGUGC
rnacentral:rRNA from 1 species